UACAGAGGUCUCAAGCGUUGUUCGGAUUCAUUGGGCGUAAAGGGCGCGUAGGCUGCGGGGCAAGUCGGGUGUGAAAUCUCAGAGCUCAACUCUGAAACUGCACUCGAUACUGCUUUGCUUGAGGACUGGAGAGGAGAUUGGAAUUCACGGUGUAGCAGUGAAAUGCGUAGAUAUCGUGAGGAAGACCAGUGGCGAAGGCGGCAUCCUGGACCGACAUUGACGCUGAGGAGCGAAAGCUAGGGGAGCAAACGGG
rnacentral:rRNA from 1 species